GAUGAACGCUGGCGGCGUGCCUAAUACAUGCAAGUCGAGCGAACAGAUGAGGAGCUUGCUCCUCUGACGUUAGCGGCGGACGGGUGAGUAACACGUGGAUAACCUACCUAUAAGACUGGGAUAACUUCGGGAAACCGGAGCUAAUACCGGAUAAUAUAUUGAACCGCCUGGUUCAAUAGUGAAAGACGGUUUUGCUGUCACUUAUAGAUGGCUCCGCGCCGCAUUAGCUAGUUGGUAAGGUAACGGCUUACCAAGGCAACGAUGCGUAGCCGACCUGAGAGGGUGUUCGGCCACACUGGAACUGAGACACGGUCCAGACUCCUACGGGAGGCAGCAGUAGGGAAUCUUCCGCAAUGGGCGAAAGCCUGACGGAGCAACGCCGCGUGAGUGAUGAAGGUCUUCGGAUCGUAAAACUCUGUUAUUAGGGAAGAACAAAUGUGUAAGUAACUAUGCACGUCUUGACGGUACCUAAUCAGAAAGCCACGGCUAACUACGUG
rnacentral:rRNA from 1 species